rnacentral:rRNA from 1 species
GACGAACGCUGGCGGCGUGCUUAACACAUGCAAGUCGAACGAUGAAGCCAGCUUGCUGGUGGAUUAGUGGCGAACGGGUGAGUAACACGUGGGUGAUCUGCCCCAAACUUUGGGAUAAGCCUGGGAAACUGGGUCUAAUACCGAAUAUGACCGAUACUCGCAUGGGUGUUGGUGGAAAGCUCCGGCGGGUUGGGAUGGGCGCGCGGCCUAUCAGCUUGUUGGUGGGGUAAUGGCCUACCAAGGCGACGACGGGUAGCCGGCCUGAGAGGGCGACCGGCCACACUGGGACUGAGAGACGGCACAGACUCCUAUGGGAGGCAGCAGUGGGGAAUAUUGCACAAUGGGCGCAAGCCUGAUGCAGCGACGCCGCGUGAGGGAUGACGGCCUUCGGGUUGUAAACCUCUUUCACCAGGGACGAAGCGAAAGUGACGGUACCUGGAGAAGAAGCACCGGCAAACUACGUG